rnacentral:lncRNA from 1 species
UGAAAUUAGAUGUUCAACUAAACCUACCACUUUAAGAUGAUCAAAUGAGAAGCAGCAAAUGGUGGAAAUGGCAACAAGUUCAGUAAUGUUGAUCUAACCUUCUUCGAAUAAUGUCUGGUUUUGGAGUGAUGGCUCAAAGUACAGUGACUGGCUUACUGGUGAGCCAAAUGAAAAUGGAGGAAAGGAAAAUUGUUUGGAGCUGGCCUAUGGAGCUGAGCAACGCUGGAAUGAUCUGGACUGUGCCACUCCUCUCAAUUUCAUCUGUUUGAUUUCUCUUCCUGCUUGUUAAUCUCAUCUGUCCAUCACCCGAGAGGCUUUGGUUUUUGGAUUAAUGUUAGUCUCUGCAAAAAUAAAAGUGAAGUGGACUUCAAACUUUUUUCUUUUUUUUUUUAUCUUGCUGGAGUAAACUGUAAACCGACCCUUUUGAUUGGUUCCAACUGGAAGUCAAGGAAGGGACCGGUGCCUCUGGUAUUUAAUGGGCUUCGUAGGGUCAAGUAUGUAAUUUUUGUGUUUUAAGGAAUCGUGAGCGCAGGGGGACUCGACACCAGUGACGUUUGUAGUCAUUAGUUCCGACAUCUACCAAGAGUACGGAAAGCCUGUAACAUUUACACUAUUAGCUGUACUAGUAUCUUUACAAGUUGUUAGUACUUAAUUAAAAUUUUUAUAGAUACUAUCUUUUGUAAAGUUACUAGUACUUAUUCCUUAGAUACUAGUGACUAUUUAUUAGGUACUUAUUUGAUACUAGUACAUUUUUUUACUAGUAUUUAUUAAUUAGAUACUAGUACUUCAAUAGUGAGUAGUAACUUUUUGUUACUAGUAACAAAUGUAAAAUAUUUGCAAUUGACUUCUAUGGGGUUCCAGCGUUGAGCUCCACUAUUGAGUUUACUAGUAUUGUCACAGUGUCUGGUCUGUGUAUCCCUGGGUGUCCACUAGAGGUCUCACUUCCCCUUAUCGUCACUGUUCAUUGUUUUCAGCUGUUUCCACUUACAUCGUUUGCACCUGUCUUUUAAAUACCUGGUUUGUUUCUGUCUUUGUUACGGAGUCCUUGGAUUAUGUUAAAGUAUUUAAUGUCCGUCAUUUUUGCCUUGCCUAGA